rnacentral:rRNA from 1 species
UACGGGGGGGGCAAGCGUUGUUCGGAAUUACUGGGCGUAAAGGGCUCGUAGGCGGCCAACUAAGUCAGACGUGAAAUCCCUCGGCUUAACCGGGGAACUGCGUCUGAUACUGGAUGGCUAGAGGUUGGGAGAGGGAUGCGGAAUUCCAGGUGUAGCGGUGAAAUGCGUAGAUAUCUGGAGGAACACCGGUGGCGAAGGCGGCCUUCUGGACGGUGACUGACGCUGAGAUGCGAAAGCGUGGGGAGCAAACAGG